GCCCAAAGCUUCGGCUUCCCCCCACUCCUCCUCCGCAUCGUCGUUCUCCUCCUUUCAUGCCCACGCUUUCACUUCUUCCCCCACUCCUCCCACAGACAUGCACAACGCGAUUGGGUGGCAGCGCUGGUGAAAUCACAAUCUGCAAUCACGUAUAGCCACCUUCGCUUUUUUUCUUUCGUGCUUGUGCUAUCACCUCUCACUCUCUUGCCUCUUCCUCGUCGGUUCCACGCUCACCUCAACCCCACCGUCGUCCGCGUGCUGUGCCGUGAAGUGCGUCUCUUUCGGUCAGCGCGUGUGUGUAUCCGUAGAUGCGAAGCGUCAAGCGAGAGAGCCGCACGCCGACACGGAAGCGGCCUUUCUAUUCAGUAUGUCCUCUGCCGCCGCGGCACAGCUGCAGCGACUACUAGACGGAUACGUCUCUGCGAGCCUCGAUGGACAUGAAAGGAAGCUUCUUCCAAACGGAAACAGCGCGCGUGCCAGGAGCUCUCACACAUUGGCUCUUGACGCCGCAGAUGUGAUGAGCUGCCUGCCGUUUUUUUCGUCUGUCUUCGGUGCUGCUGGCGGCAGCGUCGCAUCGCGAAGGGUACUGCGACUAGCUCCUUCGCAAGCAUUCAUGGCAGCGGCCGGUCCAGUUACGCGACCGACGGUGGACGAGGCAAGGGCUAGCGACACCUUAUCAUCGUUUAUUCUCUACCUUGGCGACGUGGUGGAGCGGCACCUGCACGCAUUCAUGUGGGCUGUCUCCGUUGGGCCCCCGUUCUCAACCCUGCACUUCGCAGUCGAGCUGAGACACGGCAACGCUUCCGACGGAAGGAGCAAUAAGGAGAGCAGCUCGCAUGAUGGCAGCGUGAGCGAACGCGGUCACCGCGGCGGGGGUGGUCCGUAUGUGAACUUCGUCGCUUGGGUGGCGUUGGAGGUGUAUCGCCUCUUGGCGCGAGGUGCCGAGUCUCGGCAGCGUGAGCGGCGCGCUGCCGGUGGUGCCACGUCCGCGGAUGCUGGGGCCCGCACAGAUGCGUAUAUACGGUGGGAGCGUGAGAUCGGGGAGCGUGUGUCUGCUGCCGUGGCUGCUGCGCGGCAGCUCGCGACGAAGCCUACUGGCUGCAACGAUGUGAGCUGGCAAAAUAUACUGCGGACUAUUUCUUCUGCACCCGAUGCGCACCUGGACGACGUCUUCGCCACCUACCCACACUUUUUCUACCUGUUCAUGUGCGCUGAACUUCUCCCGGACCUUCAGCGACGCUUGCACAGGUGCAGCGAGCCGCCUCUGGUGAGGCUGCGGGAGGCGCUGCGGAGUAAUGCGGCGGUCGCACACACGGACGACCAGCAGCCAACUCAUCGAACGCGAUCCUUGUCUACGGCAUUUUGGGCAGACGCUGUGUCGCUUCUGUGCUGCGAAUCCACGGCAGCCGCCAGUCGUAUCGGCGCGGAGACGACAAUGUGCAAAGAAAGCGGUUUUACUCCUACUGCCACCACCCCUGCUCAAACGUCGAUCUUCGUGGCGGCGGCGGUAGCGUCAUCGCUGGCAGCGCCCCUCUUGAGGCCUGCGUGCCGCUGGAUCGAUCGAAUUGCGUCCUUUACUUCGGCAGCGGCGCCGCACUCACAAGGGCAUCUCGUAGUGGCUGACGAGCAGAAUCGCGCCCAGGCAGUAAUGCACAUACUGGACGUGUGCAUGCGUUCUCUGCAGCUGGUUCCGCUUCCAAUGUAUGACGGUUGCGAUGCGGAUAUGCCGCUCAGCCUCGGCAGCUGCGAAAUGGCAGGCAACUGGCUGAUACCGUCAACGUCGUCGCCGCUGCAUGUCCGACCCAUGCCGUUGUUCGGGCUGCAGAGACAACGACGCGCUGUGGUGCUGCCGGGGCUGUCGAUUGCCGCCACCCGCAUCCGCUCUCUGGCUGCGGCGUAUUCGGGGAAGGCGAGCACAGUCGACGCGGCGGCGCCGGACGUGUCAGCUCCCGCUGGCACGUGUGUCUGGUCGCCGGCGGGUUCAUUGGCACAGAUGUUGUGGGCAGAGACGCAGCUGAGCUCCGCAGCGGUGGCGCCAUGCUGCGACGACACCAAUGCACCUUUCACAUCUGUCAGCGCAGUGCCGCACUCGAGGCUGCACCCGGUGGAGUUACUUUUGCUGUUCGAGGACGUGCCGUCUGACGCGGAGGCGUUGGCCCGUUUGCGGGCCGCCCUGGAUGCCGAGGCACCCGAGGGAUGGGUGGUUAUGGUGGUCCAGGCCUCCGUGCCGAAAACUGCGCAGCAGUAUAUAGAGUCUACUUGGGGCGCAGACGCGCGCCCUGUCCUCCUCCUCAGCGCCGUAGGCCAGUGGGGGCUUCAGCAGUUGGCAUUGCGCUUCAAUGUGCAGCUUAACACAUCCGCCACCGACUUGCGUUGCUUGCGCGGGGUUCGACGCCGUCUCUGUAGCGAUAGCGGUGCCGGCCAGCCCCAGGAGCGUCGAGGCUGCGGCAUUGCUGCCCUCCCGCUGCGUGGCCAGCAGUACGCGCCAUCGUCCUCCCUGUCGGCGAACGACGGUGCGCAACCCCAGCAGCAUGGAAAGGACUACUCACGACAUGCGCGCUGUGCAGCGGCCUUCGUCGAGGGGCGGGAGCACUACCUGUUCGUGGUCGGAGAGCGCACCGAUGCAUUAGAGCCCAGCACCUGUAAUGCCUCUGCAGCGAUGGAGUCGGAGCGCACCACUGGUACGGUAGCCCACCGCGCUGCGGCCGUCUCUCAAGCGCGGCCAACCGCCUUGCAGCUGCAGCCCUCGCCGCCAACACUGUUCCCACCCAGCGUAUCCAUGCACUUUCGCGACGACUCGGGGGAGUCAAGCAGCAGCGAGUUGAGCGACACCCGCUCCUUCAGCAGUGGAUCCACCUUCUCUGACACAACGGCAGCGGCAGCCAUGGCGGCAGGCGGGUCUGACGAACGGGUGAUGCGGGCGUGGUAUGGCGACCCAGCGGUGCCGCCGAUACCCUUCGUCGUGGCGAGUGUCCUGGUUGGGGCGGCCACCAGAGGGGCGCAGCACGAGUUGGUGUACGACAUCGGCUACCACUGGCGCCUUCUGCUGCAUCAGCUCGUUCUACCUGAGCCGCUUUGCUGCCGGGUGCCCACGAGUGGCGAGCGAGGGGCAACAGCCAUGGCGAUCCGUAAGUUGGACUCUUUGCUGAAGUCACCUCUGCCAAACGGAUUCGCCUCUGCCUCCCCUGCUGGGGCACCAGCGGCGUACACCCCGGAGCAGCUGCGUGUGCUAGGCGCCUUGAGGGACGCCCUCUUGUCUUACGAGCUUCUUUCUCUGCAGCAUGGGCCGGAGGGGCGCACGCUAGAUGAGUCGUGGCAAGUGCUGCAGAGAUACACAGAACCCACCACAAGCCCGUACGAGGGGUGCACAGAGGCACCAGCCGAGUCGUGGCUCGCUGUCCAAAGUGCGUAUUUGGCAGUGGCCGACUGCCUGGAUGAGCUCUGCCUCACUGUCGUCCUCGGCGGGGGCAAUGAUGCAUCUGCGAACAACGGCGAGUCUCAGGACAGCGCCGCACGCGGCCUCUACUUCUUCCCUGUGAUAUGAGGCAACUGCGUGGUGCUGCAGGGACAGGCUGAGGAGAUUGAGUGAAAGGGAGGGCGUAGCAGAAUAACAUAAAACUAAUCGGCGCUGAGGGGGCGAUGCCGUCGACUUCGUGCUUCUCCGUUUUGGCUCAUCGGCCCUUCCCCGGGCUAAGUGUGUGUCUGUUUGCUUGUUGCUGUUGUUCUGCUACGUGCAUGUGCAUGUUUUACCUGUGGAGGAGGCGCGGGACACAGGAAUACCCGCGCCACCGUCUCGUCGUCUUCGCUCGAUCCUCCCCCUCGUUCUCUCUUUCUGGUUUCUAACCGUUACCGCUACCGCUCCUCGCCUUCCACGUGCGAAAGACGACACGACACACGACACAAACACACACACACACACACGCUACGUACAUAUAUGUAUGCAUAUAUACAUAUAUGUACGUAUGCGUGUGUGUGUGUGUGGAGGCACACCGAAACGGAUGCCGCCUUCCCAUCUGCUACGGUCGAACGCGUUGCGGUGCGGCAGUCAGCGGUGAGCUUUGCCAAAUGCCGCUCGAAAGGGGCGGGUGCGAGGGGGGGGGUGUACGGCGAUGCAUCGCUGGCGUGCUUGUCUUGCCGUUCGGUGCGGGAGAUGUAUGCAAACUGCUGCUUCCCAUCCGUCUUCUUCAUUUCCAUGGUAGGCAUCAACGUGGACGCAGAUACGCAAGUGCGCUUGUAGCGUUCUGGUGCAUGCAGAAUUCAAGAGCGCAUGCCUUCGCCGCUUAUGAGACUCGACAUGACGAUGCCCCGCUCCCUACGCUCUCACCGCCUUCGUCCCCUCUUCUCUGCUCUCUCGUUUUUUGCUUUCCUUCCGCGCGUAUGCGUGCGUCCGUGUUGAGAGGAUGUGUUUCAG
rnacentral:misc_RNA from 1 species